rnacentral:rRNA from 1 species
GUGGGGAAUUUUGGACAAUGGGGGCAACCCUGAUCCAGCAAUGCCGCGUGCAGGAAGAAGGCCUUCGGGUUGUAAACUGCUUUUGUACGGAACGAAAAGGCUCUGGUUAAUACCUGGGGCACAUGACGGUACCGUAAGAAUAAGCACCGGCUAACUACGUGCCAGCAGCCGCGGUAUACGUAGGGUGCAAGCGUUAAUCGGAAUUACUGGGCGUAAAGCGUGCGCAGGCGGUGCUGUAAGACAGGCGUGAAAUCCCCGGGCUUAACCUGGGAAUGGCGCUUGUGACUGCAGUGCUGGAGUGUGGCAGAGGGGGAUGGAAUUCCGCGUGUAGCAGUGAAAUGCGUAGAUAUGCGGAGGAACACCGAUGGCGAAGGCAAUCCCCUGGGCCUGCACUGACGCUCAUGCACGAAAGCGUGGGGAGCAAACAGGAUUAGAUACCCGGGUAGUCC